rnacentral:misc_RNA from 1 species
GGGUGAUCUUCGGGAAUGUAGACCAUAAAGGUGCAUGAGUGGUGUUUGGUUUGUUACGGGUGGUUGGCUCCUUGCUUGCGCAACCAACUUCCACCUGGCUUACCUCUUCAUUUGUUGGUCAAGGCUUUCUAGCUUUAUCCAAUUGUGGGUUUCCUGUGUUGUGUACUGAUGUUAUGGUAUUAUCCUUGGUUGAUUUAUGUCCCUUUUUAUUGUGCCAAUCAUAUGGCAUAUGAUGGAACGUGUUAGCUUGCUCUUUGAUUCAUAAUGUUUAUGUGUGCAUUGAUGUUGUGGCUCAUUGAGCAUUGCUUGGUAUCAUGGAUACAGAACAUAGUUGGGCAUUGGAUCUUAAUGAUCUUUCUUUUGCUCUCAUUGAGUUGAUACGCUUCUAAAAAUGACUACUUGUUAUGUAUGGGCUUGUACCAACAUGCGAGUUUUGUCAAUAAGGAAUGCUACCUGG